GUUAUUAAGGGGCAUGGCAUGGGUAAAAAAGUUUUAGGAAAAUGGAGUGUAGGAGAUUCUUCUAGAUAAUAUUUUUAUUCUAUAUAUCAUAGGUUCAUUCUUGUGACAUACAGUUCAAUAUUUGAGGGUUUCUCCGUUUCUCAAAGGUCAGCAUUUACCUACAGACCUUGAAUAGAAUGAAUAUUGUAUUUCAAUUUCUUACUGUAUAUUGUUUGAUAAGGGACUUUGUAAAUAUUCUUCAAUGUGUACUCAAAAAUUUUCUUGGCCAAUUCCAUUUUCUUCAAUGAAUUUGGUCACAAGUGACUCCAGCUAUAGAGUGAUUAUAAAAGUGUAAAUACUGUGAACCUACUACAAAUGAUAAACUCCCAAAUCCUUAUUUUAUCAAAAAAUUUCCAGACAUCAGGAAAGCAAAGGACAUUUUUCACUGUUGAAUUCAGUUCUCUACUCCCAUUUGAUAUCAGUACUAGACUACAUAGCUUCCAGUUUUCCCAUGGGCAGACUUGAGGGUUUAGGAUGUUUCACCAUGAUUCUUUCUUCAGGCCAAUCCUAAGAUAUUGGAUGAUGUGAAGGGAGAAACAUGGCUUGAGGAACAGUAAAUUAUCUACUUCAAUAGGUAAACACAAGAGGACUAUAUAUAAGCCAACCUAACUAGAUAAGAUAGGUGAAGGUAAGAAUUGCAUUCUGCCAGGAAUCGGAAAAAGAUUUUUUCUGAGAGACAAUGAUACAGCAUGUCAAAUACAGAAGUGAAUGCUAGUAAAAAACCAGUGAACUAAAAACGGACCUGCUCUUGGUAAACUUAAAAAAAGGAUUAGAAGAGCUUAAGGUACUUUCAACCCCAUAAGAACAACAAUGCCAAUGAACCAGGGCUUUCUCUUACUGUACGAAUACACAAAGAAAGUACAUGGACUGAGGAAUGGCUCCAAAUUCAUAUGUGGCAAUGGAUGUAAUUUUUGAUCAACAUUGGAAAGAGAAGCCCUUGUCCUCCCUUGUACAUCUUUCAGUUCAAGGGAAUGUCAUGCGGGAGAAAGGCUGGUUAGAGAAAAAGGAAAUGGGAAUGUGUAGGGAUCUUAUGCUCAGGAAACUCAGAAAGGAAAUAAUAUUUGAAAUUUAAAUAUAGAAACAUCCCGUUAAAAAAAAACAAUAAAAUUUGCUAAAAAUAAAAAAGAAAGAUAUAAAAGAAAGUAAAAGCUGUCAAGUAAUCACACAUAUUGACUCGUAAAUGUGAAUUGGCAGAGUAAUACUAGUGGAAAGACUGAGAUGAUGAAGUCUCAACUAGAAGCACUUCUGUCACGUUAAUAUUAGUGGCAGACAAAAAAAUCACUAUUGGUGUCCAAAGCAUGUUGUUUACUUCGAGAUAGCAACACAAUAUUUGUACUUCCCUUCUUCGUUAGUACCUUUCUUCUUGACAAAAACAGUAAAGGUCAUGAGCUCUGGAAAACAAUUGUGCUCUUCACAAUACUUGGGUUUUGUAAUAAAGAAAUGAAUGAUAUAAACUAUUUGAAUAUUAGGAACCAUAAGAACAGGGAACUUCAGAUGCUUCUAAGAGACUUGCAGCUCAUGAUUCCCAUAUGUGGAAGGUUCAAAAAAGGCUAUCUCUUUAGCGAUCCCACACAAAUCCUACCUUGGACUCACUAAGCUUUCCAAGGACCACAUAUGCCUUUCUUUUUUUAAAAAAAAAACAAGACAGAAAGCCAGCUUAUUCCCCUUCUCAUAUCUCUUCAUCUUCUUUUUUCUCACGCCCAAAUAACUGUUUACUCUGAAUUAGAGGCCAAUUAGUAAACCCUAGAGGUAAUGAAGGAACAUCUGAAGAUCAGUUGCAGUCACAGCAAUACUUGUGACAUCACAGAAGAAGCUUUGGCUCUCAAGGAUACCAGAGAUUUUUCAUGAAUGAACUAAUGAUGAUGUCUCUAAGACCUGCCAUGGCCUAUCUGCUAAAGAGCUUUCCUUACAUUGACUAGAUUUGAGGGUGCCCUUUCCAGUUCAAGGUAAACUGGAGGUUCACUUGGGAUGCAAUGAAGAGCCCCUGACAAGCAUAUUCUUCAAAGCCUCCCAUGGUGUAACUGAAGAUACGAUAUGUGAAGUAGCCCUAGCUUGCCUGCUCAAGUCUUCAAAGCCCAAAGACAACUGCUGGAAUGAAAUGCAACCUAUAGGACUGAUGGAAGAAUUGCUACCUGGACUUUCAAAUGGCAUGAAAAUAUAUGGACAUUCUAAAUACUGAAAAAGAAUAGGAAGCUGAUCAAGCAAUACUGGAUCUUCCUCUGCUCCACGAGGUACUAACAUUUUCUCCAGAAUAAAAUGUUUUUUCUUAUAAUUUUAGAAGUAGCCAGAGAUUUUAAACUUCUAACAAACCGGUAUACAAUAUCUCCUUUGCACAUUUUCUCAGAAUUCCCGAUGAUGUCCACGGUGCAAUAACAACUUUUUCCCAUGAAGUCUGGUAUAUUACCUUUUUGAUGACUGACACAACAGUCCUACUUCUAUGCAAGUUCCCUACCUCCACCAUCUUACUGAGUAAGAUUUAGACUUAUACAAUUAAGAGGACUCCAGAAGGCCAAGGAAUUACGACACAUUCCCCAUAUGCCAAAUCCAUUUCCUCUCUAAAAUUUCUAAGUUUAUUGUCCUGAGAAACACUGUUCUGACGAAGAGAUCUCAGAGAAAUCUGGACUGAGUUCUCAAACAAGAGUCUAAAAGCAAGCACAAAUCAGACUACUGUCUUCAUUGUGUUCCCUUACACUGAGGUGUCCUUUCACAUGCAGAGGAAUGUGUAGAUGGACAUAUAUUUGAAUAAGAUACUGAACCUAAGACUACUGCAUUAGAGCCUCGUACAAGACUUCUAAGACUGUUGACUGCCUACCAUGGAUAUUCAGGCAUCUGCAGAUACUACCUUUUGAGGAAUGAAUCCUUCUCAGGAGACAAUAGACGGAACCUGCACUUCAAUGAUAAUUAAAUGGCACUUCAAGAUAUCAAAUCAAAAUAUCAAAGUGAGAAUGGAAUAAAUUUAUUAGUACAGUG